rnacentral:rRNA from 1 species
CCAGACUCCUACGGGAGGCAGCAGUCGAGAAUCAUUCACAAUGGGGGAAACCCUGAUGCAGCGACGCCGCGUGUGGGAAGACGGUCUUCUGGAUUGUAAACCACUGUCCCCAGGGACGAAAAUGACGGUACCUGGGGAGGAAGCCCCGGCUAACUACGUGCCAGCAGCCGCGGUAAUACGUAGGGGGCAAGCGUUAUCCGGAUUUACUGGGUGUAAAGGGGGCGCAGACGGCGAUGCAAGCCAGGAGUGAAAGCCCGGGGCCCAACCCCGGGACUGCUCUUGGAACUGCGUGGCUGGAGUGCAGGAGGGGCAGGCGGAAUUCCUGGUGUAGCGGUGAAAUGCGUAGAUAUCAGGAGGAACACCGGUGGCGAAGGCGGCCUGCUGGACUGCAACUGACGUUGAGGCCCGAAAGCGUGGGGAGCAAACAGGAUUAGAUACCCCAGUAAU